AUUGAACGCUGGCGGCAUGCUUUACACAUGCAAGUCGAGCGGUAACAGGCCUUCGGGUGCUGACGAGUGGCGAACGGGUGAGUAAUGCAUCGGAACGUACCCAGAGGUGGGGGAUAACGCAGCGAAAGCUGUGCUAAUACCGCAUGUGAUCUGAGGAUGAAAGCGGGGGACCGAGCAGCAAUGUUUGGCCUCGCGCCUUUGGGGCGGCCGAUGUCGGAUUAGCUAGUUGGUGGGGUAAAGGCCUACCAAGGCGACGAUCCGUAGCUGGUCUGAGAGGACGACCAGCCACACUGGGACUGAGACACGGCCCAGACUCCUACGGGAGGCAGCAGUGGGGAAUUUUGGACAAUGGGCGCAAGCCUGAUCCAGCAAUGCCGCGUGCGGGAAGAAGGCCUUCGGGUUGUAAACCGCUUUUGGCAGGAACGAAACGGUGUCCGCUAAUACCGGGCGCUAAUGACGGUACCUGCAGAAUAAGCACCGGCUAACUACGUG
rnacentral:rRNA from 1 species